UUUUUGCGAGAUAAUCCAUGUGGAUUACAUCGAUCCGAUGAACCCGUGACAUAUUCAAGAUCAACUGUAGCGAAUAUUCUAUACCAUCCCUAAAUCGUGCGCAUGUCCCACCGGCCGGUUUUUCCUACCUUCCCCACGGGCGUCUGUACGACCCUCAGUGCAGUAGACGCUGAUCGCCGAGACGCCGAGGGUCGUCUUUCGCGUCGUCGUUGACGUAAAAUUGCACGAGUGAUAAAUUCGCAUUAAACGGCAUUGUCAAUCGACGCACAAGAGUUCGUUAAGAAAAUAAAGGACCGAUUCACAGAAAUAUUGUAUGUUCGCAAUAUGAAUUAAUGUGGAUGCGAGUAAAUAUUUCAUGAUUCAAAGUGCGAAUCACAGCGGACAUUUAUAGUGCGUUUGUGUAGCGCGACAUCGAUCAGAAAAUUUAGGUCAUUGGAAGAGAGAAGUUUAAGAAUUCUUUUUACGAUUUAUUUACGACUUUACGAAUUAUUCGAGUAUUUUUUUAGCAGUGCGUCGAAUAAAUUGAUAUAGAGUGAUUAAGGAGAGGAAGGCUUUGCUAUUGAAGGGUAGUGAUGCAGGGAGCAAGGAUGCUGAAGAUCAUGAGAGUCGGGGCGAACGGGUUCAAAAGAUUGCAUUCUACUAGCAAGAGGCGUGCUGCUGUACCAGCAUCCACGAGAUUUGGAAAUGCGAAAUAUCUGGAUGCUGCUUUCGGAACUGCAGUGGAAUUAGAACAUUCCCAGACACGCGAAUACAGCUUCAUUCAUGACAGCCACUAUAUGUACACUCGAGAUCAAGAUCAAGCAACAAACGCUGAAGAUGUUUUAUUCGACAUGUUUAAAAACGAAGAGAGCGGUCUCGUAUCGGUGGGAAAAUUUCUAGCUGCUUUAAGGAUAACUGGCUUGCGGAAGAAUGAUCCUCGUCUACAAGAACUUACGGAUAAUCUGAAAAAGGAACACGCAAAGGCGGGUCAUGAAAAUAUAUCGCACGAAACGCAAAAACUAGAUAGAGAACAAUUUAGGAGGGUUAUAAAUCCCAAUAUCGUACUAAUCUCACGGGCCUUCAGGCAUCAAUUCAUAAUUCCCGACUGGGCGGGUUUCACAAAGCAUAUAGAAGAUUUUUAUUGGAAAUGCAAGACGAACACCGAAGGCAAGGUUGCUUCCUAUAUACCGCAGUUAGCCAGAAUGAAUCCGGAAUACUGGGGUGUCUCUGUGUGCACCAUUGACGGCCAGCGAUUCAGUAUCGGCGACACUUCAAUACCAUUCACCCUUCAAAGUUGCAGCAAACCUUUAACCUAUGCGAUUGCCUUGGACAGAUUGGGUCCGGAAGUGGUACAUCAAUACAUUGGCCAAGAGCCAUCGGGUAGAAAUUUUAACGAGCUCGUGCUCGAUCAUAAUAAAAAGCCACACAAUCCAAUGAUCAACGCCGGAGCAAUACUGAUUUGCUCGCUUUUGAAAACAUUAGUCAAACCAGAACUGGGCCUGGCAGAGAAAUUCGACUUUACAAUGAAUUACUUUAAAAGAUUGGCCGGUGAGGAGAAUUUGGGUUUCAACAACGCCGUUUUCUUAUCGGAACGAGAAGCAGCCGACCGAAAUUACGCUUUAGGAUUUUACAUGAGGGAACACAACUGUUAUCCAGACAAGACGAAUUUGCGCGAUAUUAUGGACUAUUAUUUCCAGUGUUGUGCUAUGGAAGGGAAUUGCGAGACGAUGGCGGUGAUGGCGGCCACACUAGCAAACGGUGGCAUAUGUCCAAUCACUGAAGAAAAAGUCUUAAAACCGGACAGUGUUCGUGACGUAUUAAGUCUUAUGCACAGCUGUGGCAUGUAUGAUUAUAGUGGACAAUUCGCAUUCAAAGUUGGCAUACCAGCGAAAUCCGGUGUGUCGGGAAGCCUUCUGGUGGUAAUUCCAAAUGUCAUGGGAAUAUGCACGUGGUCUCCACCCUUGGAUCCGCUUGGAAAUUCCUGUCGCGGUGUGCAGUUUUGCGAAGAGCUCGUAACUGAAUUUAACUUUCAUAGAUAUGAUAACUUGAAGCAUGCGACGAACAAGAAGGAUCCUAGACGGCACAAAUAUGAGACGAAAGGUCUCUCGAUCGUUAAUCUUCUGUUUAGCGCUGCCAGCGGUGAUGUCACAGCGAUGAGAAGGCACCGAUUGAGCGGGAUGGACAUGACUCUGUCCGACUACGACGGCAGAACCGCAUUGCACUUGGCCGCCAGCGAAGGUCAUCUGGAUUGCGUCGAGUUUCUGAUCGAGCAGUGCGGAGUUCCACAUAAUCCCAAGGACAGGUGGGGCAAACGACCAGUUGACGAAGCCGAGACUUUCGGACAUAUGCAGAUAGUAGAAUAUUUAAAUAACUAUGCUCUCGUUCACGAUACCGAGCUGGAGAACAAACAGAACGAGGAUAUCGAUGACAACAACGAUUCUUGUCCUAAAAAGCAAGAAACAGCGAUGCAAUCGCCAUUACCGUAAACAAUAAUGAAAGGCAAAUUGUGUGAAACUGGAGUAUGAGAGCGGGAACAAAGCUAUUCAGUAAAGAAAACAUUUUUAAAUAAUAAUACACUUUAACAUUUCAUCAUCCACCCUUACGUUUCGAAUGUGUAAAUAUGAUAAAAAUUACCGAUUUACAUAUCAGAUUAAUAAAAAAAUAAUGAAAUAUUAUCCGGUUUUAAAAUUUGAUAAAAUAUUCUUUGCACGAUUAUGUUUUGAAUAGAUUAUAAAAUAUCAAAUUUUACAUUGCAUAUAAAUUUGUGUACAUAAACUUUUUUUUAAGUUUUCAAUUAUAUUGUUUAUAACAUUAAAGAAUAUGUAUAAUAAGACAGAAGAAAUUCUCUUGUCUUUUCAUACAAGGUUUGCCUUAAAAACGAAAGAAGAGAGAGAGCUGUUUUAAGAACAAUUUUUUUAAUUGACUUGUUCAUUAAUGCAUAUUAGAUUGCGAGACAGCGAAGUACGUUUAAAGUCGAAAAAAGAUACUACUUGUACUUUGAAAUGCAAGUUGUAUAAAAUUGAGAUUAUUAGGCAUUCUUUUUAAUAUAUUCAUAUUUUUUCAUUUUUUGGGAAAUAAACCAUUUCACAUUUAAAUUUAUAUUUACUUUAAAUAGUAGAAUAUCAAUGAUUUUCUCGUCAGACAGAUAUUGAUAAUUGAUAGAAUAUAUUAUCUCGAUAUAGCGGCGCUUAUUAUUCUCCUUUAAUCAUACAAGUAACAAUUUGUUUUUUUUACAAUGGCGCAUAAAAUACGCGCGGAUAACGAUUUAAUAGGGAAAUACAGAUGUUAUCUUGUGAAAAUUCUUCGUAAUAAAUCGCGCACGUGAAUCGUGCGUUAACAUAUCUUUCUAAAUGUGUUUCUCGACGCGUUUUAGAGAUAUUCUUCACAGAUAUAAAAUACUAUAUCCGUCUUAGAAAUGUUUCGCAAGCGUCCACUGCGAGAAUAACUUCGAAAAAUAUUAAUUUAAAUAUUAAUAUAUAUCACACACACAAUGUAUAUAAAUAUU